rfam:Dipodomys ordii contig_17079, whole genome shotgun sequence.
GGGAAUGUGGCUUAGUGGUAGAGAGCUUGCCUAGCAUGCAUGAAGCCCUGGGUUCAAUUCCUCAGUACCA